CUUUCUUCUCCUUUCCUAUCCUAUAAUUUUCACUGUUGUGGUCAUUGUAUCAUGUAAGACUACUCCAGUCCUUGUCUUGAGCAACGUCUAUUUAAGAACAUGUAUCCUUCUCAUGAAAACAACUAAUGAAUCCCAGAUCUGUGACUCAAAGCCUGAGGUGAUGAUAGCCACCGGGACUGCUUCAUUUCCUCCCCUGUGGAAGGACAACCUUGAGCUUGCCUGUGUACACUUUUGCUUCAUGUUCAUCUUCAAGGACUUUGGACAAACUUGUCCCUCUUUCAUGAAAAAGUGACAAUAACAACUACCCAACUAACAAACAAAACCAGGAAAAAAGUGGGCCCGUGAACUUGCGGAGGAAUUGCACAAGCUGCUAGAACCCGAAUCUCCUUAUAUUUAUUCUUUUCCUUCAAGGGCAAAAG
ensembl:lncRNA